GACGAACGCUGGCGGCGUGCUUAACACAUGCAAGUCGAACGGAAAGGCCCUGCUUUUGUGGGGUGCUCGAGUGGCGAACGGGUGAGUAACACGUGAGUAACCUGCCCUUGACUUUGGGAUAACUUCAGGAAACUGGGGCUAAUACCGGAUAGGAGCUCCUGCUGCAUGGUGGGGGUUGGAAAGUUUCGGCGGUUGGGGAUGGACUCGCGGCUUAUCAGCUUGUUGGUGGGGUAGUGGCUUACCAAGGCUUUGACGGGUAGCCGGCCUGAGAGGGUGACCGGCCACGGUGGGACUGAGAUAGGGGGCAGACGGCGGGAGGAGGGGGAAGUGGGGGGAAGGGCGAACGGGGGGGGAGGCGGAAGCGGCGGAGGCGCGUGGGGGGUGACGGCCUUCGGGAAGGGAAGCAGGACCGCCUGGGAUGUAGGUGGGGUGACGGUAGCUGGUAAAGAAGCGCCGGCUAACUACGUG
rnacentral:rRNA from 1 species